AUUCAGUUCCAGUACUUACCGAGCCUCUGUUCUGAGCCUAUGAGCCCCUUGGCAGGGCAGGGAGUCUGUCUUGCUCAUCCUGUCAUUCCAGGCCUAGCAUAGCCUGUGCAGUGUAGAAAAUUCUCAGAAAUAUUGUGUAGGUAGAAAGCACUGAGGAGUCAUGAGUAAGCAUUAGAUCAUUUUAGGAUCUUGCUCACUAAACAUGAAUCAAGUACAUAGCAGGACCAACUUCUGUAGCAGAAUCAUACAGAAUGGUCUUUGGGAUGGUUUUGAUCAUAGGGUCUGGAGUUAUACAUGCCUGCACUUAUGGUGGUGGGAUUACUGUGAGAAAGAUGUGCAACCUGUCUGUGCCUCAGCUACCACCAUCUGAAACCUGGGGGUCAUCAGUAGUAGGUGUCUUCACAUUGUGGUUGUGAGGAUGAAAUGUGAUCAUGUUUAUGAAAGGUUUAUUUAAUGCCUCAAAAUGUAAUUGUUCAGCAAAUAUUGGCUGUUGGUGUUUGUAUCUCAUGUAUUGAUCAAACCAAUUGACCAAUUCCAUGGCUAUGGGGAGCCAGGAAAGCUCACGAGAGCUCAACAUAAGAUUGAGGGCCUAAAGAUAACUCAGACAGAACAGAUGUUACAGCUUGAGGCAUUCAGGAAAGGGUGCCCAAGGGAAGAAGCCUCUGAUGUGGUUCUGAGGGACAGAGCGCCCUCUAGGAGAUACCAAGGGCAGGCAUGGUGAAUUCAGGGAUGCACCUGGCACGCUGGGACCCCCAGGAGAGGCUGUCUUGGUCACUGUGAGCGACUCCAAGGGGAAAGAGCCCAGGAUGGGUUGGGAUUUUGUCAUAUGGAGAUUUUAAGGCCCUUCUCUGGGUGGAGACAUCCAGAUCUGCUCUUCAGCUGCUCUAAGCACCUCUAGGAAAACUCAGAAAUCACUUCCCUGGACUUAAAAGUACAGCGUGAAUUUCAUCUCUUGAACACUCGGAGAGGGUUCUCUGUUUAAAAAACACCCUUGUUGUUUGAAGUUGCUGUCUGGAUAAAGCAGUGACCAGCAUAUUUCAAAGGGAUGACUCAGCUGUCUUAUGAGUCAGUCAGUCUCUCUCUCUCUCUCUCUCUCUCUCUGUCAGUCCCUCCCUGAAACACCCUGGCUUUGCCCUACAGGCUUAGGAGAAGGUACAGAAGUAAUUAGGCUCACAGUGUGACUCAUACAUUCAAGGCCAACCAGAUGUGAUUCCCGGAGGAGACCCUCUGAUGCACAACCUGCUUUUCAGCUCUGAGUGGGCACAUUCCAAGUUUGUCAACAGACUCAACCUUUGGCCGCCAGGUCUCACAUGGCGCCACUCAAGUGCUGAGCUGCAUUCAUCAGCGCUCUGGGUCAGCAAGAGGGAGUCUAAGUCUGCAGAGUGAAUACCUCCUAUACAUCACUUAUAUCCGUUCCUCCCAGGACUGGAGGAUGAUAAAGCUUAAAAUGAAAUGAAGAGAUCCUUUUGUUUAUCUCUCUGCUUCUGUGUAGGAUCAGCUGGAGAGAACCCAUAAAACAAGGCUGGGCUAAGUAUCUGCUCAGCCCUGCACCAGGCUCGCAGGACGUAACUCAUAAAGAGCCCUGCUCACAGGGGAGUGAGUGGUAGAGAUUUGUAAACCUAAAUUGCUAAUCACUGUG
ensembl:lncRNA